CUCUUGUGAUGACAUUAUUCAGUUCUGCUUCCGAAUGAGCUCAAGGCUCUUGUAGAUAACUGAAAAUACCAAAAACCUUCUGAUUC
rfam:Sistotremastrum suecicum HHB10207 ss-3 unplaced genomic scaffold SISSTscaffold_17, whole genome shotgun sequence.